UCCGGCCUCCAGCGGCAAGGUCAGUGCCGGCCCGGAGGAGGCGUCCCGAGAGGGGACUCCGCGGCAGCUCGCGGCUCUUGUCGCCCGCCCGCCGAAGCGAAGCGUCCUGCCACCCGCACCUGCCUGGAGAGGUAAAUUCAGAAAUACAAUUCAGUUCAUCCUGUGGUGGAUACAAAGACAAACUUAUUUUGUUUUUACCAUCAUGAAACUUAACAAUAUGGAAUAUAAAGUGUACAAUGUAAUGAUUAAACAGUUCCAGACUUCACCCAAUGCUCAUCACGACAAGUGCACUCCUUAAUCCCCAUCACCUAUUUCACCUAUCCCUCCAGUCCCCACCCCCUCUGGUAACCAACAUUUUGUUUUCUAUAGAUAAAAGUCUGUAUUUUGGUUUGUC